rnacentral:rRNA from 1 species
GAUGAACGCUGGCGGCGUGCCUAAUACAUGCAAGUCGAGCGAACGGACGAGAAGCUUGCUUCUCUGAUGUUAGCGGCGGACGGGUGAGUAACACGUGGAUAACCUACCUAUAAGACUGGGAUAACUUCGGGAAACCGGAGCUAAUACCGGAUAAUAUUUUGAACCGCAUGGUUCAAAAGUGAAAGACGGUCUUGCUGUCACUUAUAGAUGGAUCCGCGCUGCAUUAGCUAGUUGGUAAGGUAACGGCUUACCAAGGCAACGAUGCAUAGCCGACCUGAGAGGGUGAUCGGCCACACUGGAACUGAGACACGGUCCAGACUCCUACGGGAGGCAGCAGUAGGGAAUCUUCCGCAAUGGGCGAAAGCCUGACGGAGCAACGCCGCGUGAGUGAUGAAGGUCUUCGGAUCGUAAAACUCUGUUAUUAGGGAAGAACAUAUGUGUAAGUAACUGUGCACAUCUUGACGGUACCUAAUCAGAAAGCCACGGCUAACUACGUGCCAGCAGCCGCGGUAAUACGUAGGUGGCAAGCGUUAUCCGGAAUUAUUGGGCGUAAAGCGCGCGUAGGCGGUUUUUUAGUCUGAUGUGAAAGCCACGGCUCAACCGUGGAGGGUCAUUGGAAACUGGAAAACUUGAGUGCAGAAGAGGAAAGUGGAAUUCCAUGUGUAGCGGUGAAAUGCGCAGAGAUAUGGAGGAACACCAGUGGCGAAGGCGACUUUCUGGUCUGUAACUGACGCUGAUGUGCGAAAGCGUGGGGAUCAAACAGGAUUAGAUACCCUGGUAGUCCACGCCGUAAACGAUGAGUGCUAAGUGUUAGGGGGUUUCCGCCCCUUAGUGCUGCAGCUAACGCAUUAAGCACUCCGCCUGGGGAGUACGACCGCAAGGUUGAAACUCAAAGGAAUUGACGGGGACCCGCACAAGCGGUGGAGCAUGUGGUUUAAUUCGAAGCAACGCGAAGAACCUUACCAAAUCUUGACAUCCUUUGACAACUCUAGAGAUAGAGCCUUCCCCUUCGGGGGACAAAGUGACAGGUGGUGCAUGGUUGUCGUCAGCUCGUGUCGUGAGAUGUUGGGUUAAGUCCCGCAACGAGCGCAACCCUUAAGCUUAGUUGCCAUCAUUAAGUUGGGCACUCUAAGUUGACUGCCGGUGACAAACCGGAGGAAGGUGGGGAUGACGUCAAAUCAUCAUGCCCCUUAUGAUUUGGGCUACACACGUGCUACAAUGGACAAUACAAAGGGCAGCGAAACCGCGAGGUCAAGCAAAUCCCAUAAAGUUGUUCUCAGUUCGGAUUGUAGUCUGCAACUCGACUACAUGAAGCUGGAAUCGCUAGUAAUCGUAGAUCAGCAUGCUACGGUGAAUACGUUCCCGGGUCU